ACCCUAUCCUACAUCCUUCCCCUCCGUCCACAGAUCCGAAAGGCUCUUCCUACUAAACACCCUGCCUGUUAACACCAGCGGCUCAUUUCUUCCAAGACGCACAACCGAGCAAUGACAGAAGGAACGAGAACAGCUGCAAGCACUGAGACUCUGUCAAGAAAGCCUCUUUCUUCUUUAGGUUAUCCAAGACCCACGCACUGCAACCAGAUGCAUGCCGUCCUGAGCCCAAACCCUCGACUUCUCUCCCAUCUCGGACUUUCAAAUUCUUAAAUUUGCCCUUUACUUAAAAAAGUCAAUGAUUUCACCAAGAAAGUUUGAUUAGUUUCUUUUACUUUCUGUAAUGAAGUGCCAUCCUUUUUACACUUGAAAGGAUCUUUGUAAUAAUGCAACAUUGAUCUUUUGAAUAC
ensembl:lncRNA